rnacentral:rRNA from 1 species
CCCUUAGAUGUUCUGGGCCGCACGCGUGCUACACUGAGUGGAUCAGCGGGUCAGGUUGCGCGAAAGUGUUUCCUAAUCUUGAAAUCCGCUCGUGAUGGGGAUUGACGGUUGCAAUUUUCCGUCAUGAACGAGGAAUACCUUGUAAGCGCGGGUCAUCAUCCCGCGCUGAAUACGUCCCUGCCCUUUGUACACACCGUCCGUCGCUCCUACCGAUUGAGUGGUCCGGUGAGGCUUUGGGAUCUGAGCAAAGAGAGCGUUUCGCUCGUUUUGCCCGGAAAACUCAGUCGAACCUUAUCAUUUAGAGGAAGGAGAAGUCGUAACA